rnacentral:rRNA from 1 species
GAUGAACGCUAGCGACAGGCUUAACACAUGCAAGUCGAGGGGCAGCGGGGGCGUAGCAAUACGCCUGCCGGCGACCGGCGCACGGGUGAGUAACACGUAUGCAACCUGCCCAUGACAGGGGAAUAAGCGGAAGAAAUUCCGUCUAAUACCGCGUGGCGCACCGGAGGGGCAUCCCUUUGGUGUUAAAGAUUUAUCGGUCAUGGAUGGGCAUGCGGCGCAUUAGCUAGUUGGCGGGGUAACGGCCCACCAAGGCGACGAUGCGUAGGGGUUCUGAGAGGAAGGUCCCCCACACUGGUACUGAGACACGGACCAGACUCCUACGGGAGGCAGCAGUGAGGAAUAUUGGUCAAUGGGCGCGAGCCUGAACCAGCCAAGUCGCGUGAGGGAAGACGGCCCUAUGGGUUGUAAACCUCUUUUGUCGGGGAGCAAACGCACCACGUGUGGUGCUGUGAGAGUACCCGAAGAAAAAGCAUCGGCUAACUCCGUGCCAGCAGCCGCGGUAAUACGGAGGAUGCGAGCGUUAUCCGGAUUUAUUGGGUUUAAAGGGUGCGUAGGCGGCAAGUUAAGUCAGCGGUAAAAUUGAGGGGCUCAACCCCUUCCCGCCGUUGAAACUGGUUUGCUCGAGUGGGCGAGAAGUAUGCGGAAUGCGUGGUGUAGCGGUGAAAUGCAUAGAUAUCACGCAGAACUCCGAUUGCGAAGGCAGCAUACCGGCGCCCGACUGACGCUGAAGCACGAAAGCGUGGGUAUCGAACAGGAUUAGAUACCCUGGUAGUCCACGCAGUAAACGAUGAAUGCUAAUUGUCCGCGGGAAAUGACCUGUGGGUGAUAAAGCGAAAGCGUUAAGCAUUCCACCUGGGGAGUACGCCGGCAACGGUGAAACUCAAAGGAAUUGACGGGGGCCCGCACAAGCGGAGGAACAUGUGGUUUAAUUCGAUGAUACGCGAGGAACCUUACCCGGGCUCAAACGUAAGUGGCAUAAUCCUGAAAGGGGUUAGUUCUCCGGAACCGCCUACGAGGUGCUGCAUGGUUGUCGUCAGCUCGUGCCGUGAGGUGUCGGCUUAAGUGCCAUAACGAGCGCAACCCCUACCGACAGUUGCCAUCAGGUAACGCUGGGAACUCUGUCGGGACUGCCGGCGCAAGCUGUGAGGAAGGCGGGGAUGACGUCAAAUCAGCGCGGCCCUUACGUCCGGGGCGACACACGUGUUACAAUGGCAGGUACAGCGGGAAGCCAUAUGGCGACAUAGAGCGGAACCCGAAAACCUGUCUCAGUUCGGAUUGGAGUCUGCAACCCGACUCCAUGAAGCUGGAUUCGCUAGUAAUCGCGCAUCAGCCAUGGCGCGGUGAAUACGUUCCCGGGCCU